GGUUAACAGACGAACACAAUUUAGAGACAGAAAAAACUGGGUAUGUACGUUAGUCCCCUUAUCUGUGGUUUCGCUUUUCACAGUUUCGGUUACCCGUGGUCAACUGAGUCUGAAAAUAGCUGACUGGCACCCUUCUCUCUGGCUGGCAGCGGAUUAGCACACUGAAUCCCAUCCCUGAGAUGUCCUGGCACACAUCCUGGGCCCCUCUGUGAAGUGUUUGCCAUGGCCUCGAGCCCCUCAGGUUGAGUGCACUUGUCUGCAAAGGGCUGUGUUCUACAGCAACGUGGGACCCACGAAGGAAGCCUUAUGAUUCAUUUUUCAUCUCAUCAUUACUCGCCUUGCCUGUAUGCCAAGGCUGGGAAGCAAUGGGCCAGAGGUUUGUGCUCUGAGCAAUUCUGAAUCAUGUGGAGAAUAUGAAGGAAAAUGAGAAGUUUAAAAAUACUCCAUAGGAAAGAAAUGGUGUUUUAUAUAACGAAAACUCUGAAGAUUACACUGGCUGGUACAAGGAAGAUUUGUUUCUGCGACGAAAGUAAGAAUGUAAUGUAUGCUAUAUUCAUUUAAUCUUUACCAGAGUCAAAACCUAAUGAAUUAUCUGGCCUAGGUAAAGCAACUGCCGCAGAAAGCUCUUGGACUUAACGCGGCCAAGUAUUGCCCUAAUAGAGAUUUGCAUGUAUUUGGCUAUUUCCUAAUUUGGCUUGUUAUCCUUCUUCAACACACUUCCAGUGUAAAACCCUCACAUCUACAAAUGCAUUACCCACAAAACCGCAAGCUUUGCUAUUCCCAGUGUGAUUUCUCUAGCAAACGAGUGUAAUCCAAUAAAACAUCAUGUCCCACCAACAUUGAAGUAUUUAUUGUGGAAUAAAUUUCAGUUUAAAAAAGCGUGCUUGCCCCUCUUCCUUCUCAUAUAUCAUAGAGUGACCAGUCCUCUCAGCUUCCUUUGUGCUGGGGAUCACUAAGUGGGGAAAAGUGGCAGCUGGAGAUAACAGCUCUCUGAUGCUCCGCUGCAUUUGUUCUGGAUUUUUCUAGGCCUGUCCAAGAGAUGGUAGCAUGGAAAGGAACUUGCAGUGACUUUUCCAAAAUGUGGGAUUUUUCACAGAUUUUACAGGUGUGCUACACAUUUGCAAUGAACAGAAUACUUAAUCCUGACGUGCUUUUCCC
rnacentral:lncRNA from 1 species